rnacentral:lncRNA from 1 species
UUGAACAGAUCAGUCAAGUUAGCAUAAGCUCCAAACCACAAAAUUUUACAUUCCUUGCAUCCUCCACCCACACCAACAAUGGCGCUAGCGGCUGGGUGUUGGCAGCGAGUCCCCCUCAGUUUCCUCUCCUGUAUUAGUUCUUAAGUCGCACGCAACCAACUUCACAAACUCUAAUUUAAGCUUUCUUCUUUUCUUUCCCUUUCUGUCUUCGGUUCCGCAACCCUCUGUCCCCAUCUGUAAGGUGCCCUGCAUCCUUCUUUUCCUCAACUUGCCACCUUAUAUGUCCAAGAGCUUCCACUAAAGAUAUCCGCCAUUGAUCCCGCUGAAGCAUUCAAAUCGUCUAUGGGAGUAGUUUUCAGGGCAACCCAUUUCCAAAUCUCCAGCUGCUGCCAUCCCUCGAUUCAAACUUGAUUCUUCAUUCUUCCAUAAGUUGGGCAACCAUGAAGUAAGUUCCUAUACCCUGAACAUCCCACUCUCUGUAAAUGGGUCUCUGGAUUUGGAUCAAGUUCUUCCUUUUUCCCGUCAAAGAUUCUUGCUUUCCUGUGUUUAGAUCUCUCUCUGCUUUCAAAUUGUUUCCUUUUGAACAAUGGCAGAACUCGAAUCUAACUCAUCUAAGCCAUCGUCCAGGGUUCUUUGUUGUUGAAGUAAUGAAGUAAUGAAAUAUUAUGUAAACUUUUCAAAAGUAAAGUUCUUGCGAGUGUGUUUUUGAAUUUCUGCUCUUAAAUUAACUACAAACUUAGAAUCUAGUCGGAAUUGACACUUGUCACUUGCUUAAUUGGCAG